UACGGGGGGAGGCAAGCGUUGUUCGGAAUUACUGGGCGUAAAGGGCUCGUUAGGGCGGACCAUCAAGUCAGGGGGUGAAAGCCUGGAGCUUAACUCCAGAACUGCCCUUUGAUACUGUUGGUCUUGAGGUCGGGGAGAGGUGAGUGGAACUGCGAGUGUAGAGGUGAAAUUCGUAGAUAUUCGCAAGAACACCAGUGGCGA
rnacentral:rRNA from 1 species